rnacentral:rRNA from 1 species
UACAGAGACUGCAAGCGUUAUUCGGAUUCACUGGGCGUAAAGGGUGCGCAGGCGGCCGAGUGUGUGAGGCGUGAAAGCCCGGGGCUUAACCCCGGAAUUGCACCUCAAACUACACGGCUAGAGCAUUGGAGAGGGUAGCAGAAUUCAUGGUGUAGCAGUGAAAUGCGUAGAUAUCGGGAGGAACACCAGUGGCGAAGGCGACUACCUGGCCUGUUCUUGACGCUGAGGCGCGAAAGCUAGGGGAGCAAACGGG